GGACCCAGAGAGAGAGCAAACAUGAAAUGAAGGCAAGUGGGGGACUUCAUGGUGUGUGACAGCCUUUUUCAGUCAGUAUGUUUGUGUGUGCUUGGGUCAGUAUGUGUGUGUGUGUCUGCUUGAGCCAGUGUGCGUGAGUCAGUGUGUGUAUCUGCUUGGGUCUGUGUUUGUGUGCAUGGAUCAGUAUGUGUGUCUGCUUGAGUUUGGAUCAGUGUGUGUGUGUCUGGAUCAGUGUGUGUGUGUCUGCUUGGGUCAGUGUGUGUCUGCUUUGGUCUCUGUAUGUGCGUGUCAUCAUGGGUUAAUGUGUAUGUGUGUGUGUGUUUG